rnacentral:rRNA from 1 species
UACGUAGGUGGCAAGCGUUGUCCGGAAUUAUUUGGGCGUAAAGCGCGCGCAGGCGGUCCUUUAAGUCUGAUGUGAAAGCCCACGGCUCAACCGUGGAGGGUCAUUGGAAACUGGGGGACUUGAGUGCAGGAGAGAAGAGUGGAAUUCCACGUGUAGCGGUGAAAUGCGUAGAGAUGUGGAGGAACACCAGUGGCGAAGGCGACUCUUUGGCCUGUAACUGACGCUGAGGCGCGAAGCGUGGGAGCAAACAGGA